rnacentral:rRNA from 1 species
GGCUCAGGAUGAACGCUAGCGGCAGGCUUAAUACAUGCAAGUCGUGGGGCAGCAGGUCCGUAGCAAUACGGAUGCUGGCGACCGGCAAACGGGUGCGGAACACGUACGCAACUUUCCUUCAAGUGGGGAAUAGCCCAGGGAAACUUGGAUUAAUACCCCUUAACAUUAUGAGAUGGCAUCGUCUUAUAAUUAAAGCUCCGGCGCUUGAAGAUGGGCGUGCGCCUGAUUAGGUAGUUGGCGGGGUAAUGGCCCACCAAGCCUACGAUCAGUAACUGGUGUGAGAGCACGACCAGUCACACGGGCACUGAGACACGGGCCCGACUCCUACGGGAGGCAGCAGUGAGGAAUAUUGGUCAAUGGGCGAGAGCCUGAACCAGCCAAGUCGCGUGGAGGAAGACGGCCCUACGGGUUGUAAACUCCUUUUACCUGGGAAUAACGGGCGCUACGCGUAGCGCUGUGCAUGUACCGGGAGAAUAAGCAUCGGCUAAUUCCGUG